CCCCGCCGCCGCUGCUCUUCUCUAUGGCCCCUCGUACAUCUCGUUUCCGUUUCUUACCCCAUCGCUCCCUUUCGCUCCUCUCACCUCUUUACGGCCUCCCUGUUAACAGUCUGGUUAUCCCCCAAGGCUGCGGGAUGGGGAGUGCAGCUUCCCGACCUUCUUUCCUGGGCUGCAGAGAUGGUGGCGGCCGCAUGCGCAGACAGGGGCCGGAGUCUCCUGGCCGGCGCCCUCCGCCCCGGCCUGCGCCGGGGGCUCGCUGAGGUCUGACGGCUGUGUUUGGUGAAAGUUGGAUGGUGGCUGGAGAGUGAGGACUGCGGGGGACGUGAUACUGACGAGAUACUUCACAGGGCCAGGUUUUCCCGAGUUUCCUUACAGUAAUUGUCAUUAGAAAACUUCAAGGGAGCUCACCUGUGUUUGGAGAUGUUUAAGAUCUAACUAGCAGAACAACAUUCUGAUUAUCUACAGAGUUGGGAGAGGAGCUUCUCAGGAAAUACGCUGGCAAGAGAGAACUGACUACACUUCAAUAAAAUAUCUGCAAGCAGAUAGUUGAUGUGCAUGCCCUAUCUGGCAUAUACACCUACCUCUAAUUACAGAUGAUAAAUAAAAGGUUUCUGCCUA